rnacentral:lncRNA from 1 species
UGAAAUUAUAAAUUGCCCAAAGUUAACCAUAAAUGAGUCAUUCUAUUGAAUUUAACAAACAUUUAACUUUGCAAGAAAUAAAUUUUUAUUUUUCUUCAUUAUCAUACAGCAUUUAAUAAUAAUAAAUCUGUCUUGAGGUUUCAAAUCUGAGAUAUCUAUGGCAAGUUUAUAAAAAGUACAUUGAUCAAGGUACAGUUUUUAACAUUAAUAUACACAUUCCAUAAUCUCAUCUAUUUAAUAUUAACACAGGCCUUUGUUGUUGUUAUUUUCUUCUCCCUACAAUAUUUCCUGACUCUGUAGGACAGUGGUCCUCAGUUGGGGGUUGACUGUGUCCCCUAGGGGCAUCUGGCAACAUCCGACAUAACUGUGGGUGUCACAGGAGAGGGACGCUGCUCACCAUCCUGCAAUGCACAGCACGGACCCCACCACAGGGGUUUUAUCCAGCCCAAAUGUCGACAGUGUCAAGUUUAAGCAACUCUUACCGAGUGGGACUCAAUUCCCAUUUUAUGAACACCUCUGUGCUCACUGUAAUUCUGAAAACACAGACUUUGCUAACUGGUAAAUACUAUUUACAAGAAGAUUCAACCUAAUCAAUAUCACUUACCAAAAGCAGUGGCUGACUGUAAGUAUCAACAUGUUUCCAGAAUGAAUAAACCACACAAUCAACUCAGAAUGAUACAAAUUAGGGUCCAUAUCAUUUAAUUUCCCUUGAACCUGCUCUGCUAGUUUAAUCUGCUAAUAUGAAAGUUAAUUAAGACUGUUUUGAAGGAGCGAGACAAUAGUUUCCUUUGCACAUUUUUCUGAACUAUGAUAAAAAUUUAAUGAUACAUAAAGCACCUGGCAAUAG